GUCUCUGUGGCGCAAUGGAUAGCGUGUUGGACUUCUCGUCCAAAGGUCGUAGGUUCGAAUCCUACCUGGGAUG